rnacentral:rRNA from 1 species
GGGUUGUGAGGUUAAGCGACUAAGCGUACACGGUGGAUGCCCUGGCAGUCAGAGGCGAUGAAGGACGUGCUAAUCUGCGAUAAGCGUCGGUAAGGUGAUAUGAACCGUUAUAACCGGCGAUUUCCGAAUGGGGAAACCCAGUGUGUUUCGACACACUAUCAUUAACUGAAUCCAUAGGUUAAUGAGGCGAACCGGGGGAACUGAAACAUCUAAGUACCCCGAGGAAAAGAAAUCAACCGAGAUUCCCCCAGUAGCGGCGAGCGAACGGGGAGCAGCCCAGAGCCUGAAUCAGUGUGUGUGUUAGUGGAAGCGUCUGGAAAGGCGCGCGAUACAGGGUGACAGCCCCGUACACAAAAAUGCACAUACUGUGAGCUCGAUGAGUAGGGCGGGACACGUGGUAUCCUGUCUGAAUAUGGGGGGACCAUCCUCCAAGGCUAAAUACUCCUGACUGACCGAUAGUGAACCAGUACCGUGAGGGAAAGGCGAAAAGAACCCCGGCGAGGGGAGUGAAAAAGAACCUGAAACCGUGUACGUACAAGCAGUGGGAGCACGCUUCGGCGUGUGACUGCGUACCUUUUGUAUAAUGGGUCAGCGACUUAUAUUCUGUAGCAAGGUUAACCGAAUAGGGGAGCCGAAGGGAAACCGAGUCUUAACUGGGCGUUAAGUUGCAGGGUAUAGACCCGAAACCCGGUGAUCUAGCCAUGGGCAGGUUGAAGGUUGGGUAACACUAACUGGAGGACCGAACCGACUAAUGUUGAAAAAUUAGCGGAUGACUUGUGGCUGGGGGUGAAAGGCCAAUCAAACCGGGAGAUAGCUGGUUCUCCCCGAAAGCUAUUUAGGUAGCGCCUCGUGAACUCAUCUUCGGGGGUAGAGCACUGUUUCGGCAAGGGGGUCAUCCCGACUUACCAACCCGAUGCAAACUGCGAAUACCGGAGAAUGUUAUCACGGGAGACACACGGCGGGUGCUAACGUCCGUCGUGAAGAGGGAAACAACCCAGACCGCCAGCUAAGGUCCCAAAGUCAUGGUUAAGUGGGAAACGAUGUGGGAAGGCCCAGACAGCCAGGAUGUUGGCUUAGAAGCAGCCAUCAUUUAAAGAAAGCGUAAUAGCUCACUGGUCGAGUCGGCCUGCGCGGAAGAUGUAACGGGGCUAAACCAUGCACCGAAGCUGCGGCAGCGACACUAUGUGUUGUUGGGUAGGGGAGCGUUCUGUAAGCCUGUGAAGGUGUGCUGUGAGGCAUGCUGGAGGUAUCAGAAGUGCGAAUGCUGACAUAAGUAACGAUAAAGCGGGUGAAAAGCCCGCUCGCCGGAAGACCAAGGGUUCCUGUCCAACGUUAAUCGGGGCAGGGUGAGUCGACCCCUAAGGCGAGGCCGAAAGGCGUAGUCGAUGGGAAACAGGUUAAUAUUCCUGUACUUGGUGUUACUGCGAAGGGGGGACGGAGAAGGCUAUGUUGGCCGGGCGACGGUUGUCCCGGUUUAAGCGUGUAGGCUGGUUUUCCAGGCAAAUCCGGAAAAUCAAGGCUGAGGCGUGAUGACGAGGCACUACGGUGCUGAAGCAACAAAUGCCCUGCUUCCAGGAAAAGCCUCUAAGCAUCAGGUAACAUUAAAUCGUACCCCAAACCGACACAGGUGGUCAGGUAGAGAAUACCAAGGCGCUUGAGAGAACUCGGGUGAAGGAACUAGGCAAAAUGGUGCCGUAACUUCGGGAGAAGGCACGCUGAUAUGUAGGUGAAGUCCCUCGCGGAUGGAGCUGAAAUCAGUCGAAGAUACCAGCUGGCUGCAACUGUUUAUUAAAAACACAGCACUGUGCAAACACGAAAGUGGACGUAUACGGUGUGACGCCUGCCCGGUGCCGGAAGGUUAAUUGAUGGGGUUAGCGGUAACGCGAAGCUCUUGAUCGAAGCCCCGGUAAACGGCGGCCGUAACUAUAACGGUCCUAAGGUAGCGAAAUUCCUUGUCGGGUAAGUUCCGACCUGCACGAAUGGCGUAAUGAUGGCCAGGCUGUCUCCACCCGAGACUCAGUGAAAUUGAACUCGCUGUGAAGAUGCAGUGUACCCGCGGCAAGACGGAAAGACCCCGUGAACCUUUACUAUAGCUUGACACUGAACAUUGAGCCUUGAUGUGUAGGAUAGGUGGGAGGCUUUGAAGUGUGGACGCCAGUCUGCAUGGAGCCGACCUUGAAAUACCACCCUUUAAUGUUU